GAAUGCAGAAUUCAGAGAUGUGCAGAAAUGUCUCCAUCGCAGCACAGAAAGUUCAGAAGCAUUUAAUGCCACAACGGAUGGAUCCAACGGAUAGUUUUCAAUAUCACAUAUAUACAGAUCAGACAGAUGAAAGAGAAAAACAAGCAAGCAAUCAAACAUUCAACGUGAAGAAUUCUCUAAGGCUCAACUCUACGAUCUGAGAUAUUGAAAAGCUUGCUCAGCAACUCAGUUCUUAA
rnacentral:lncRNA from 1 species